rnacentral:lncRNA from 1 species
CAGGUGGCUGGAAGAAGAAAUUUUCUACCAUUAGCACUAUAUGCAUUAUAACUAGCUUUGCUCAUUUUAUCCACCAACAAAGCUCCAGGAUACCCUGGAUAAGCUCCAGUGCCAAAUAUUCCAGGACAAGCUGUGACAGCCUCCAAUGGUGCCAACGCGUCCCCUUGAAAAUAACCGGUCUUGAAGGGGUUAGUGGUAGCCCCUGCAAGUAGGGUGGCUAUGUUUAUGAUCAUGCCAUCGGUUCCAAUUCCAUUAGGUGCCACCAAGGCUGGGCCUGGAGGACCAUAAGCCGGCAGAGCAUAAGGCCAAGCACAAAGACCAGGGCAUUGGACUGUAGGGUCUCCCACGUGUGCGAAAACCACUCGAGUUGAUCCCCCUACUAAUAUGCUGUCAUGGAAACCGCAUGAUGCCAUGCAGAACCGCUCUAC